AUUGAACGCUGGCGGCAUGCCUUACACAUGCAAGUCGAACGGCAGCACGGGUGCUUGCACCUGGUGGCGAGUGGCGAACGGGUGAGUAAUACAUCGGAACAUGUCCUGUAGUGGGGGAUAGCCCGGCGAAAGCCGGAUUAAUACCGCAUACGAUCUACGGAUGAAAGCGGGGGACCUUCGGGCCUCGCGCUAUAGGGUUGGCCGAUAGCUGAUUAGCUAGUUGGUGGGGUAAAGGCCUACCAAGGCGACGAUCAGUAGCUGGUCUGAGAGGACGAACAGCCACACUGGGACUGAGACACGGCCCAGACUCCUACGGGAGGCAGCAGUGGGGAAUUUUGGACAAUGGGCGAAAGCCUGAUCCAGCAAUGCCGCGUGUGUGAAGAAGGCCUUCGGGUUGUAAAGCACUUUUGUCCGGAAAGAAAUCCUUGGCUCUAAUACAGUCGGGGGAUGACGGUACCGGAAGAAUAAGCACCGGCUAACUACGUG
rnacentral:rRNA from 1 species